rnacentral:sRNA from 1 species
AUGUAUUUAAAGUUAGAGCACACACAGUCAUCUCUGAUUCUUGGUGUCAGUGUUUCAUCAGGGUCCCCUGCACUUCAGAUUCUGCAUUCCUUGCCUGUUUGCCUUCAACCUGCUGGUGGGCAGUCCCUAAGAAAGAACAGGCAUGGAAGUGGGGAGAGCCAUACGUAUUUAAAAGUGAGUUUCUCUGUUUGAAGAACAUAAGGACAUUUCUCACGGCCUGUUGUGAGACGUUUGGAAUGAGGAAAAGUGAACUUUUCGAGGCAUUUGACCUGUUUGAUGUUCGUGACUUUGGAAAGGUUAUAGAAACAUUAUCACGACUUUCUCGAACACCUAUAGCAUUGGCCACAGGAAUCAGUUUUCAUCUACACUAGUGAACGGAGCCAUGGAAGGAUGAUUGCUACCAAAUUAUUUGUUAUCAGAUCCCACAGCUGAAAAGAGAGGGUGCUGAAGGCAAGGGCCCUUCCCAACAGAAGAAAGCAUUAAUGAUGAAGACAUCUACAAAGGCCUUCCUGAUUUAAUAGAUGAAACCCUUGUGGAAGAUGAAGAAGAUCUCUAUGACUGUGUUUAUGGGGAAGAUGAAGGUGGAGAAGUCUAUGAGGACUUAAUGAAGGCAGAGGAAGCACAUCAGCCCAAAUGUCCAGAAAAUGAUAUACGAAGUUGUUGUCUAGCAGAAAUUAAGCAGACAGAAGAAAAAUAUACAGAAACUUUGGAGUCAAUAGAAAAAUAUUUCAUGGCACCACUAAAAAGAUUUCUGACAGCAGCAGAAUUUGAUUCAGUAUUCAUCAACAUUCCUGAACUUGUAAAACUUCAUCGGAACCUAAUGCAAGAGAUUCAUGAUUCCAUUGUAAAUAAAAAUGACCAGAACUUGUACCAAGUUUUUAUUAACUACAAGGAAAGAUUGGUUAUUUACGGGCAGUACUGCAGUGGAGUGGAGUCAGCCAUCUCUAGUUUAGACUACAUUUCUAAGACAAAAGAAGAUGUCAAACUGAAAUUAGAGGAAUGUUCCAAAAGAGCAAAUAAUGGGAAAUUUACACUUCGAGACUUGCUUGUGGUUCCUAUGCAACGUGUUUUAAAGUACCACCUUCUCCUCCAGGAACUGGUCAAACAUACCACUGAUUCGACUGAGAAGGCAAAUCUGAAACUGGCUCUUGAUGCCAUGAAGGACUUGGCACAAUAUGUGAAUGAAGUGAAAAGAGAUAAUGAGACCCUUCGUGAAAUUAAACAGUUUCAGCUAUCUAUAGAGAAUUUGAACCAACCAGUUUUGCUUUUUGGACGACCUCAGGGAGAUGGUGAAAUUCGAAUAACCACUCUAGACAAGCAUACCAAACAAGAAAGGCAUAUCUUCUUAUUUGAUUUGGCAGUGAUCGUAUGUAAGAGAAAAGGUGAUAACUAUGAAAUGAAGGAAAUAAUAGAUCUUCAGCAGUACAAGAUAGCCAAUAAUCCUACAACCGAUAAAGAAAAUAAAAAGUGGUCUUAUGGCUUCUACCUCAUCCAUACCCAAGGACAAAAUGGGUUAGAAUUUUAUUGCAAAACAAAAGAUUUAAAGAAGAAAUGGCUAGAACAGUUUGAAAUGGCUUUGUCUAACAUAAGGCCAGACUAUGCAGACUCCAAUUUCCACGACUUCAAGAUGCAUACCUUCACUCGAGUCACAUCCUGCAAAGUCUGCCAGAUGCUCCUGAGGGGAACAUUUUAUCAAGGCUAUUUAUGUUUUAAGUGUGGAGCGAGAGCACACAAAGAAUGUUUGGGAAGAGUAGACAAUUGUGGCAGAGUUAAUUCUGGUGAACAAGGGACACUCAAACUACCAGAGAAACGGACCAAUGGACUGCGAAGAACUCCUAAACAGGUGGAUCCAGAUGUGCCCUGUCUCCUUCAUUUCUUUAUUUCCAUGGCCCCUGCUACUAGAAGCAUUGUAAAAAGCCAGAAGAAGAACAAGAAAUUCUGAGGACAUGGGUGAAAAUGCAGCCUUGAGGUUUCUGAAAAUAACAGGAGACAGACAAGGCUGGUGUCCAGCAACAAUACUGGGUAGCUCUUUUUGUCCCCACUUACACAGCGAAGGAUAAAGAAGAGAUUCUAUGGACACUUAGUAAGGAUUACUUCAUGUUUUAAUUCAAAGUACUUUGGAAAGAAGACUUUGAGCAGAGUGGAAUAGCAGGAGGUUUUUGCAAGGUGAAAUAGAAUGAAAGUGCAGCCAAGAAUUUUUCUGUCUUCAAUUUUAAAGAACACCGGCAUAACUCAUUUUUCUUUUUUUCCCCUGUGUUCUUUUUGACCUUCUUAGCAGCUCCUGACUUUCUCCCUUGGGGAUUUUUCUCUGUAUAGUCAGCGCUGACUCCCUUAGAAAUCCUGAACCCCACACCCGUAUCGCGAAAGAGUUGAAGAGAAUUCAAAUAAACACGUUGAGAUAAGUAGCUUGUGAACUAACUGUUACGGCAUGCCUCUGUAAUAAGAUACUGCCAGCUAGAAGCUAAAAUAAAGUGAAAUUCCAUUUAA